AGAGUUUGAUCAUGGCUCAGAACGAACGCUGGCGGCGUGCCUAACACAUGCAAGUCGAACGAGAAAUCGGGCACUCAGGCAACUGAGUGCCGGAGAGUAAAGUGGCGCACGGGUGAGUAACACGUGGGUAACCUACCCCCGAAUCUGGGAUAACCUCGCGAAAGCGUUGCUAAUACCGGAUAUUGUCCUAUUGGUUGUGGCCUUUGGGAUGAAAGGCAACCUCUUCAUGAAAGUUGUCGUUCAGGGAUGGGCCCGCGUACCAUUAGCUUGUUGGUGGGGUAACGGCUCACCAAGGCUACGAUGGUUAGCUGGUCUGAGAGGAUGAUCAGCCACACUGGAACUGAAACACGGUCCAGACUCCUACGGGAGGCAGCAGUGAGGAAUUUUGCGCAAUGGGGGAAACCCUGACGCAGCAACGCCGCGUGAGUGAAGAAGGCUUUCGGGUCGUAAAGCUCUGUCAAGUGGGAAAAAAGUCUGAUGAUUAAUAGUUGUCAGAUCUGAUGGUACCACUGGAGGAAGCACCGGCUAACUCCGUGCCAGCAGCCGCGGUAAUACGGAGGGUGCAAGCGUUGUUCGGAAUUACUGGGCGUAAAGGGCGUGCAGGCGGUUUGGUAAGUCAGAUGUGAAAGCCCUGGGCUCAACCCAGGAAGUGCAUUUGAAACUACCAUCCUUGAGUAUGGGAGAGGAGAGUGGAAUUCCCAAUGUAGAGGUGAAAUUCGUAGAUAUUGGGAGGAACACCCGUGGCGAAGGCGACUCUCUGGACCAAUACUGACGCUGAGACGCGAAAGCGUGGGGAGCAAACAGGAUUAGAUACCCUGGUAGUCCACGCUGUAAACGAUGAGAACUAGGUGUAGCGGGUAUUGACCCCUGCUGUGCCGAAGUUAACGCAUUAAGUUCUCCGCCUGGGG
rnacentral:rRNA from 1 species